UUAAAGACAGGAAUACCCUUUAGGGUUGUGAUGUUCCAAUUAUAUCCUUCUCCAUUUUUACCCUUCAAACCUAAAUAACAGAGAGGCCAUUUCAUACAUUUUCUUUCUCCAUCAUUACCAAGAACCCUAAGUACUACAACCAGAUGCAGGGAAGAAUACCAAGUGAAUCAUGCUCGUGUUGAGAAGCAUCGUACGCCCACCUGACAACAUUCAUCACUAUGGUUGGUGGCGGCAACGGCAUGGAGUUGUCGAUGUACUGCAACUAAGUUUGAGAGGGCAAAAAAAAGGUGGAGAGAGCUCUAAACAGUCCGAUGAGUUCACAUGACCGUGUUAGAACACUGGAAACUGGGAAUGGUCUGAUUGAUCCCAUUGCAAAGAUGUUUCCUGACUCUUACCAAAGGCAUUAUGCUAGACAUCUGUAUAGUAACUUCAAGACCACAUAUGGAGAUAGCCUUUAAUAUACACUGGAGAUGGGAAAGGAGAUGAAGAUUUUGAAGUUUCUGUUUCACCACUCGACAUAUGUGUACUACAUUGGCUGAUAGAGCUAGGAUUUGCCUUCGAUAUUCAUUCGAACUUACCACAACCCUUGUUGUCAACCUAUGAAUCAAGUAAAGAUGGUUGUCAUACAUGUUCCAAAAUCAAAAGAACAUGAGCAAAUUUUGAAUAUGGAAAAUGGAUAGAGACAUGCCCCAGUUGAAAGUGGGCAACACCAAAAGGAUCGACCAUAAUUUGCACCUGUUUUUUCUGUUCUAACCUGACAUUGACCUUCACUAUAAGUGCAAGUUUUAUAUUGGUUUUCCGACAAGAAUAAUGAGCAACCAUUUGGACA